rnacentral:rRNA from 2 species
UCAGGAUGAACGCUGGCGGCGUGCCUAAUACAUGCAAGUCGAACGAGUUCUGAUUAUUGAAAGGUGCUUGCAUCUUGAUUUAAUUUUGAACGAGUGGCGGACGGGUGAGUAACACGUGGGUAACCUGCCCUUAAGUGGGGGAUAACAUUUGGAAACAGAUGCUAAUACCGCAUAAAUCCAAGAACCGCAUGGUUCUUGGCUGAAAGAUGGCGUAAGCUAUCGCUUUUGGAUGGACCCGCGGCGUAUUAGCUAGUUGGUGAGGUAACGGCUCACCAAGGCAAUGAUACGUAGCCGAACUGAGAGGUUGAUCGGCCACAUUGGGACUGAGACACGGCCCAAACUCCUACGGGAGGCAGCAGUAGGGAAUCUUCCACAAUGGACGCAAGUCUGAUGGAGCAACGCCGCGUGAGUGAAGAAGGCUUUCGGGUCGUAAAACUCUGUUGUUGGAGAAGAAUGGUCGGCAGAGUAACUGUUGUCGGCGUGACGGUAUCCAACCAGAAAGCCACGGCUAACUACGUGCCAGCAGCCGCGGUAAUACGUAGGUGGCAAGCGUUAUCCGGAUUUAUUGGGCGUAAAGCGAGCGCAGGCGGUUUUUUAAGUCUGAUGUGAAAGCCCUCGGCUUAACCGAGGAAGUGCAUCGGAAACUGGGAAACUUGAGUGCAGAAGAGGACAGUGGAACUCCAUGUGUAGCGGUGAAAUGCGUAGAUAUAUGGAAGAACACCAGUGGCGAAGGCGGCUGUCUGGUCUGUAACUGACGCUGAGGCUCGAAAGCAUGGGUAGCGAACAGGAUUAGAUACCCUGGUAGUCCAUGCCGUAAACGAUGAAUGCUAGGUGUUGGAGGGUUUCCGCCCUUCAGUGCCGCAGCUAACGCAUUAAGCAUUCCGCCUGGGGAGUACGACCGCAAGGUUGAAACUCAAAGGAAUUGACGGGGGCCCGCACAAGCGGUGGAGCAUGUGGUUUAAUUCGAAGCAACGCGAAGAACCUUACCAGGUCUUGACAUCUUUUGAUCACCUGAGAGAUCAGGUUUCCCCUUCGGGGGCAAAAUGACAGGUGGUGCAUGGUUGUCGUCAGCUCGUGUCGUGAGAUGUUGGGUUAAGUCCCGCAACGAGCGCAACCCUUAUGACUAGUUGCCAGCAUUUAGUUGGGCACUCUAGUAAGACUGCCGGUGACAAACCGGAGGAAGGUGGGGAUGACGUCAAAUCAUCAUGCCCCUUAUGACCUGGGCUACACACGUGCUACAAUGGAUGGUACAACGAGUUGCGAGACCGCGAGGUCAAGCUAAUCUCUUAAAGCCAUUCUCAGUUCGGACUGUAGGCUGCAACUCGCCUACACGAAGUCGGAAUCGCUAGUAAUCGCGGAUCAGCACGCCGCGGUGAAUACGUUCCCGGGCCUUGUACACACCGCCCGUCACACCAUGAGAGUUUGUAACACCCGAAGCCGGUGGCGUAACCCUUUUAGGGAGCGAGCCGUCUAAGGUGGGACAAAUGAUUAGGGUGAAGUCGUACAG